rnacentral:rRNA from 1 species
GACAGAGGGUGCAAACGUUGUUCGGAAUUACUGGGCGUAAAGCGCGUGUAGGCGGCUGCGCAAGUCGGGCGUGAAAUCCCACGGCUCAACCGUGGAAGUGCACUCGAAACUGCGUAGCUUGAGUCCUGGAGAGGAAGGUGGAAUGCUUGGUGUAGAGGUGAAAUUCGUAGAUAUCAAGCGGAACACCGGUGGCGAAGGCGACCUUCUGGACAGUGACUGACGCUGAGACGCGAAAGCGUGGGGAGCAAACAGG